AACGAACGCUGGCGGCAGGCUUAACACAUGCAAGUCGAGCGCGCGCCUUCGGGCGUGAGCGGCGGACGGGUGAGUAACGCGUGGGAACGUGCCCUUUGGUUCGGAAUAGCCCUGGGAAACUGGGAGUAAUGCCGAAUAAGCUCUACGGAGGAAAGAUUUAUCGCCAAAGGAUCGGCCCGCGUUGGAUUAGGUAGUUGGUGGGGUAAUGGCCUACCAAGCCGACGAUCCAUAGCUGGUUUGAGAGGAUGAUCAGCCACACUGGGACUGAGACACGGCCCAGACUCCUACGGGAGGCAGCAGUGGGGAAUCUUGGACAAUGGGGGCAACCCUGAUCCAGCCAUGCCGCGUGAUCGAUGAAGGCCUUAGGGUUGUAAAGAUCUUUCAGCUGGGAAGAUAAUGACGGUACCAGCAGAAGAAGCCCCGGCUAACUCCGUGCCAGCCGCCGCCGUAAUAC
rnacentral:rRNA from 1 species